UUCCAUCGUGAUUAACCGUCGUGGGUGGUCCCUCGAUACGAGGGAGGUUCUCAAUACUUCGCGGAAGUAAAUAAGCUAUGAAUCAAACACAAUCAGUUUGGAAUAAUGAAAUCCGGUCCAUCCUUUAGUCGACGAGCGUCAAUUAAAUGCGCGAAACCACCUCGCACAAGAUAUCUCUACACGGAUCUGAGGUCUGUAAGCGGCGGAUAUAAUAGCUAGUUGCACGCUCGAUAGAUCUGAUCUGAUCCCGAUCUUUCUCCGUGCACUGUGGGCUCUUCUUCUUCGUUACAACUGGCGCGACCUCAAGACUGAAUCGCUACAUAGACGAAAUGGUUUCUAAGGUCCCAGAGUGAAAUGCUCUUCGACGAUUACGGAUAAAAAAGAGAUUAAGUAUUCUAAUAUUAGUUUUUUAUUCAUUAUUCUACUCAGAGAAGAUCCUCAAUUCAAAAAUUCCAAAAAUUAUAAAACCUUCACAAUGCGUAAUAAGAUAUC
rnacentral:lncRNA from 13 species